AUUGAACGCUGGCGGCAGGCCUAACACAUGCAAGUCGAACGAGUGGCGGACGGGUGAGUAAUUUCUGGGAAACUGCCCGAUGGAGGGGGAUAACUACUGGAAACGGUAGCUAAUACCGCAUCCCAUCGGAUGUGCCCAGAUGGGUUUAGCUCGUAGGUGGGGUAAAGGCUCCCCUAGUCGACGAUCCCUAGCUGGUCUGAGAAGAUGACCAGCAACACGGGAACUGAGAGACGGUCCAGAAUCCUACGGGAGGCAGCAGUGGGAAAUAUUGAACAAUGGGCGCAAGCCUGAGGCAGCCAUGACGCGUGUAUGAAGAAGGCAUUCGGGUUGUAAAGGACUUUCAGCGAGGAGGCGUUAAUCGCAGAAGAAGCAUCGGCUAACUCCGUGCCAGCCGCCGCGGUAAGAC
rnacentral:rRNA from 1 species